AUUGAACGCUGGCGGCAGGCCUAACACAUGCAAGUCGAGCGGAUGAAGGGAGCUUGCUCCUGGAUUCAGCGGCGGACGGGUGAGUAAUGCCUAGGAAUCUGCCUGGUAGUGGGGGAUAACGUCCGGAAACGGGCGCUAAUACCGCAUACGUCCUGAGGGAGAAAGUGGGGGAUCUUCGGACCUCACGCUAUCAGAUGAGCCUAGGUCGGAUUAGCUAGUUGGUGGGGUAAAGGCCUACCAAGGCGACGAUCCGUAACUGGUCUGAGAGGAUGAUCAGUCACACUGGAACUGAGACACGGUCCAGACUCCUACGGGAGGCAGCAGUGGGGAAUAUUGGACAAUGGGCGAAAGCCUGAUCCAGCCAUGCCGCGUGUGUGAAGAAGGUCUUCGGAUUGUAAAGCACGUUAAGUUGGGAGGAAGGGCAGUAAGUUAAUACCUUGCUGUUUUGACGUUACCAACAGAAUAAGCACCGGCUAACUUCGUGC
rnacentral:rRNA from 1 species